UACGAAGGGAGCUAGCGUUGUUCGGAAUCACUGGGCGUAAAGCGCACGUAGGCGGCUUCUUAAGUCAGGGGUGAAAUCCUGGAGCUCAACUCCAGAACUGCCUUUGAUACUGAGAAGCUUGAGUCCGGGAGAGGUGAGUGGAACUGCGAGUGUAGAGGUGAAAUUCGUAGAUAUUCGCAAGAACACCAGUGGCGAAGGCGGCUCACUGGCCCGGUACUGACGCUGAGGUGCGAAAGCGUGGGGAGCAAACAGG
rnacentral:rRNA from 1 species